UGAACUCCUGACCUCAGAUGAGCCACCCACCUUGGCUUCCCAAAGCGCACCAUGCCCAGUGAAAGUUUUUUGGCCCAGAGUUUUGUGGCUUUCAGAAUGAAAGGGAAGACUGCAGUUUCCAUGAGGGCAAGAAGUAGAACUUUUUAGCUGACCCCUUGCUGUGGUGUAAAUGUCCCCUCCGAAACACAUUGAAAUUUAAUUGCCACUGUAAGGAUAUUGAGAGGUGGAAUCUUUAAGAGGUGAUUAGGACAAGAGCCCUCAUAAAUGGACUAAUGCCAUUAUUGCUGAAGUGGGUUAUUUAUCAUGGGAAUGGAUUCCUGAUAAAAAGGUGGGUUGGCUGGGUGUGGUAGUUCACGCCUGUAAUCCCAGCACUUUGGGAGGCCAAGGUGGGCGGAUCACCUGAAGUCAGGAAUUCAAGAUCAGCCUGGCCAACAUGGUGAAAUCCUGUGUCUACUAAAAAUACAAAAAUUCAGCUGCUUCAAGAUGAAGCUGAACAUCUCCUUCCCAGCCACUGGCUGCCAGAAACUCAUCAAAGUGGACGAUGAACGCAAACUUUGUACUUUUUAUGAGAAGCGUAUGGCCACGGAAGUUGCUGCUGACGCUCUGGGUGAAGAAUGGAAGGGUUAUGUGGUUUGAAUCAGUGGUGGGAACGACAAACAAGGUUUCCCCAUGAAGCAGGGCGUCUGAACCAUGGCUGUGUCCGCCUGCUACUGAGUAAGGGGCAUUCCUGUUACAGACCAAGGAGAACUGGAGAAAGAAAGAGAAAAUCAGUUCAUGGUUGCAUUGUGAUGCUAAUCUGAGUGUUCUCAACUUGACUAUUGUAAACAAAGGAGAGAAGGAUAUUCCUGGACUGACACCAAGGUGCCUCGUGGCCUGGGGCCCAAAAGAGCUAGCAGAAUCCGCAAACUUUUCAAUCUCUCUAAAGACGAUGUGUCUGCCGGUAUGUUGUAAGAAAGCCCUUAAACAAAGAAGGUAAGAAACCUAGGACCAAAGCACCCAAGAUUCAGCGUCUUGUUACUCCAUGUCUCCUGCAACACAAACGGCAGCGUAUUGCUCUGAAGAAGCAGCGUACUAAGAGCAAUAAGGAAGAGGCUGCAGAAUAUGCUAAACUUUUGGCCAAGAGAAUGAAGGAGGCUAAAGAGAAGCACCAGGAAAAAAUUGCGAAGAGACGCAGACUUUGAUCUCUGCGAGCUUCUACUUCUAAGUCUGAAUCCAGUCAGAAAUAAGAUUUUUUGAGUAACAAAUAAAUAAGAUCAAACU